ACAAAUUCUGAAUUGUUUGCGGGGGGUGUUCAUGUGAAUGGUGCAGUUCAUUUGGAGAGGAAUUCGUUUCUGAUUCAUCUGAUCCUGUUCAUUUGCACGUGCACUCUUGCAACAAUACACACGUUCCAUGUGCAUUCACUUGUGCAUGACAACAUUUCUACGAAUCAUCUGAUUGUCACAUAAUUAUCACAUUAA
rnacentral:misc_RNA from 1 species